rnacentral:rRNA from 35 species
CCACGGAGUGAUUCAUGACUGGGGUGAAGUCGUAACAAGGUAGCCCUAGGGGAACCUGGGGCUGGAUCACCUCCUUAUACGA